rnacentral:misc_RNA from 1 species
AAGUCGUAACAAGGUCUCCGUAGGUGAACCUGCGGAGGGAUCAUUACCCAAAUAUGAAGGCCGAUGGGGCCAGCCCUUUGUUGGGUAUGCCCCGUCUGGCGCCAUAUUCACCCAUGUCUUUUUGCGUACUACUUGUUUCCUUGGUGGGUUCGCCCGCCAUUAGGACCUUUACUCAACCCUUUUUUUGCAAUUGCCAUCAGCGUCAGCAAAACAAUGUAAUCAAUUUACAACUUUCAACAACGGAUCUCUUGGUUCUG